UCAGGCGGCAGCGGUGGGCAGGGCAAGGAUCAAAGCUCCUGUGGUGGUCAGAAAUCAGGUGGUGACUCUGGGAAACAGUGCGGGGAUGUAGGAUCCUGUGGUGGGAAUAAAUCAGAUGGCCAGAACCAGGGAAAAGGCCCUGGCGGUAAGAAGUAAGAAAAGGGAUGUUUCUAUCACACGUCCAAUACAACUCCAUACCAUAUACUGCUUGUUGCUGCUGUAACUUGAUACAAUAAAAUGCACUAUACUGU